CCAAAGCAGGUAACCCAGCAUUCUAAUAGAGCACUUCAGUAUGAAUCAUAAUACCCAUAAAACCUAGCGGUCAAAUACGGAAAUGGUUCCAAUCGAUUUUACAUCCUUAAUUUUCCCAUAAGGGAAACACUUAAAAGAAUCAAAUCAAAGUGUAUUUGUCACAUGCGCCAAAUACAGUCAAACACAGUGAAAUGAUUACUUACAAAAUAAGGGCUGUGUUUUAUGUAUUUAUUUAACUAGGCAGUUAGGAACAAACUCUUAUUUUCAAUGACGGCCUAGGAACAGUGGGUUAACUGUCAUGUUCAGAGGCAGAACAACAGAUUUUUUCCUUGUUAGCUCAGGGAUUCGAUCUUGCAUCCUUUCAGUUACAAGCACAACGCUCUAACCACUAGGCUACCCUGCCGCCCCUUUUGUGUAAGCUUAACCUGGCUUCUGUGGUCGAAAAAGUACCCAAUGUCAUACUUGAGUACCGUAAUUUCCGAACUAUAAACCGCUACUUUAUUCCCACACUUUGAACCUCGCGGUUUAUACAAUGACGCGGCUAAUUUAUGGAUUUUUCCCGCUUUCACAAAAUUCAUGCCGCCAAAAUACUGAGCACCGUCACAUAAUGUGACGUAAAUCGAGCGCGCUCAAACUUCCCAUCAUUCUGAUUACGGUAGUAAUGUUGUCACCCUCAUCAUGGCAAAGACACUGAGAAAUGCAUAUGAUGCAGCUUUCAAGUUGAAGGCGAUCGAUCUGACUGUUGGAAUAGGAAAUAGAGCUGCUGCAUGGGAGCUUGGCCUUAAAUGAGUCGAUGAUAAGACGUUGGAAACAGCAGCGUGAGGAACUGACUCAGUGCAAAAAUAAAACAAAAGCUUUCAGAGGGAAGAAAAGCAGAUGGCCCAAAGUAUUUGCAGCCACUCGACAUCAGUGUAAAUCGUGCAUUUAAGGUGGCGCUCCUUGUUCAGUGGGAGGCUUUGGUGACAAGUGGGGAGAAAUCCUUCACUAAAACGGGCCGCAGGCGAAGAGCAUCUUAUGGUCAAGUCUGCCAGUGGGUCCUGACAGCGUGGAGCAUUGUCAAAAAAUCCACUAUCAUCAACGGGUUUCGAAAGGCUGGACUGCUGCGUGUUGAAGGGGCAGCAUGAGCUCAGCGGGGUAUUUGCCUCCGGAUGAAAGUGAGGAGAGCGACAAUGAAAACGAUCCAACAUCGGAUGAAGCAAUUCUGAGGCUUUUCAACUCCGACACCGAAGGAGAUGACUUCAGUGGUUUCAGUGCACAGGAGGAGGAAGAUAGUGACCAAUGACUUUCUUGUUGAACUUGUUGACUGAUGCCAAGGCGGUGGUUGCGAAGAUGAAGGGAACAGCUGCAGACCAGAAGACUGUAGCCAAGGCAUCACUGGUCCACACCUGCCCUGUCCUAUCUAUUUACAUUCAAGCAACACUUUGAGAGCAUGUAUCUGUAAGUCUUCAAUGGUCCCAGUGCUGGUUGAUGUGCAGGCCUAAGUGACCACACAAAUGGAACUCCAGCUAGGGUAAGAUUCUUUCAUCAUUCACACACAGUAGACAUAGUCCAUGCUUUUGUCACUUACAGGUUAGACUACUGCAAUGCUCUACUUUCCGGUUACCCGGAUAAAGCACUAAAUAAACUUCAGUUAGUGCUAAACACGGCUGCUAGAAUCUUGACUAGAACCAAAAAAAUGUGAUCCUCUUACUCCAGUGCUAGCCUUUCUACACUGGCUUCCUGUUAAGACAAGGGCUGAUUUGAAGGUUUUACUGCUAACCUACAAAGCAUUACAUGGGCUUGCUCCUACCUAUCUUUCCAAUUUGGUCCUGCAGUACAUACCUACACUUACGCUACAGUCACAAGACGCAGGCCUCCUUACUGUCCCUAGAAUUUCUAAGCAACAGCUGGAGGCAGGGCUUUCUCCUAUAAGAGCUCCAUUUUUAUGGAAUGGCCUGCCUACCCAUGUGAGAGACGCAGACUCUGUCUCAACCUGGCCGGUUCCCCUCUCUCCACUGGGAUUCUCUGCCUCUUCUCAGCCUCUGAGUCACUGGCUUACCAUGCCGUUCCUAGGAGGGGUGCAUCACUUGAGUGGGUUGAGUCACUGACGUGAUCUUCCUGUCCGGGUUGGCGCCCCCGCUUGGGUUGUGCCGUGGCGGAGAUCUUUGUGGGCUAUACUCGGCCUUGUCUCAGGAUGGUAAGUUGGUGGUUGAGGAUAUCCCUCUAGUGGUGUGGGGGCUGUGCUUUGGCAAAGUGGGUGGGGUUAUAUCCUGCCUGUUUGGCCCUGUCCGGGGGUAUCGUAGGAUGGGGCCACAGUGUCUCCCGACCCCUCCUGUCUCAGCCUGCAGUAGUUUAUGUGUCGGGGGGCUAGGGUCAGUCUGUUAUAUCUGGAGUAUUUCUCCUAUUUUAUCUGGUGUCCUGUGUGAAUUUAAGUAUGCUCUCUCUAAUUCUCUCUUUCUCUCUCUCGGAGGACCUGAGCCUUAGGACCAUGCCGCAGGACUACCUGGCCUGAUGACUCCUUGCUGUCCCCAGUCCACCUGGCCGUGCUGCUGCUCCAAUUUCAACUGUUCUGCCUGCAGCUAUGGAAGGAACCUUGACCUGUUCCCCGGACGUGCUACCUGUCCUAGACCUGCUGUUUUCAACUCUCUAGAGACAGCAGGAGCAAUAGAGAUACUCUGAAUGAUCGGCUAUGAAAAGCAGAAUGACAUUUACUCCUGAGGUGGUGACCUGGUGCACCCUCAACAACCACUGUGAGUGUUAUUAUUUGACCCCGCUGGUCAUCAAUGAACAUUUGAACAUCUUGACCAUGUUCUGUUCUAAUCUCCACCCGGCACAGCCAGAAGAGGACUGGCCACCCCUCAUAGCCUGGUUCCUCUCUAGGUUUCGUCCUAGGUUCUGGCCUUUCUAGGGAGUUUUUCCUAGCCACUGUGCUUCUACACCUGCAUUGCUUGCUGUUUGGGGUUUUAGGCUGGGUUUCUGUACAGCACUUUGUGACAUCAGCUGAUGUCAGAAGGGCAUUAUAAAUACAUUUGAUUGACAUAGUGUCAACAAAAUGCUGUCUUCAAUGCUUAAGGCCAGGCACCACACCCUCAUAGGGUACUUUCCCCCCCUUAAUCAUAUCACAAUCAACUUUUACCAGUUAAAUGUAGACACAAAUGUAUGAAUAUUUUAUAUGAAACAUUUCUGAAAUAUGUUAUUAAAAUAUGCAAAUAUUUUCAUAUCGCGCAAAUCCAUUUUUCAGGACACUGGAUGAAGUCAGACUAAAUAUUUUGAUUUCAUUUUAAGACACUUCAUGAUGGGACUUGUCCAGAGCAGAUUGUGGAUAAAUACAUUUUUAAUCUUUCUAUCUGUAAAAAUACAAAAGACAUGUAUGUAAAAUGCAUUUUGGCAUAUUUUUCCAAAGAAAAUCAUCUAUAAUAAAAAAAAAAAAAAAAAAGUAUUUCAACAAUUCCCUCUGGGUAGGUCUGGAGAAUAUAUCUAUUCAGAUGCUUCUGAAGCUGAGAAAAAUUAGUUGAUGUGUGGGAAGAGUCUGCCCUUCGGGAAAUUGCAGUUAAAGACAAGUACACUGAAUUUCGACUACCAAACGUCUAUUCAGAAAGGGGAAAGGGCAACCUAGUUGCCUAGUCAGUUGUUCAACUCAAUGUAUUCAACUGAAAUGUGUCUUCCACAUUAAACCCAACCCUUCUGUGACCCAAUAACCAUCUGUUCAAAGUAAGUUACUAAUAUAGACCAGUUUGUAACAAUCUCUAUGAAAUGGGCAUUUAAAUUGUGUCAUUUAAUGUAGUGAGACUUCAAAUCAUUGAUGUAUCUCAAUUUUUUAGGUGUUUAAAAUUCAUUAAAAUGUUGAAGGUAGUAUGAUAAACUAAGAAAAUAUACAUUUUCAUCAAGUUUUUGUCAUUUUUAUGUUUACUUUUUGAAAAUACUAAUAUUAAUGGACCAAAAUACCAACAAAUCUCAAAAUUGAAAGGUAGAUGCAAGAAUGUCAUUUCAUUCUGUGGUGACUGGCCUUAAAUUCACAGAUCACCGCACCUGCCCAUCUGUAAACAGCCCAUCUAUCUCCCUACCUCAUCCCCAUACUCUAUUGAUUUAUUUAUCUUGCUCCUUUGUACCCCAGUAUCUCUACUUGCACAUUCAUCUUCUGCACAACAAUCACUCGUGUUUAAUUGCUAUAUUGUAAUUACUUCGCCACCAUGGCCAAUUUAUUGCAUUAUCUCCCUUAUCUUACCUCAUUUGCACACACUACUGUAUAUAUACUUUUUCUACAGUAUUAUUGACUAUGUUUUGUUUAUUCCAUGUGUAACUCUGUGUUGUUGUAUGUGUCGACUUGCUAUGCUUUAUCUUGGUCAGGUAGCAGUUGCAAAUGAGAACUUGUUCUCAACGAGCCUACCUGGUCAAUAAAAAAUAAAAAUACAUGUAAAAAAGUGAUAUUGUGUAUGGCUCAAUAUGUUGAAAUGCUGUGAUCACUCAUCGCCUUUAAUGUUGUGAUUCACAUACACACAAUGAGCAUGAUAUGAAUGCUGCAACUGACAGAAUGACUACGCUGAGACCCCGAUUGCGACUGGACAUUGGGCGGAUUUUUGUGACAAUGACCUAAAAAGGGGUGGAGAAACACACACCCCAUUUUAUGUUUAUUCCAUGACCAACCAUCCCUCUAGCGACCCCUUAUUCCAGACUAUGCCAUUUAUGCCCGACGGUCCCUCGAACUUCGCACACUUUGGAACUCUCCAUCUUGUCUCUUCUAAACCCACCCUACCUUCCCAAUUUCCCUAUGCUGCUUCCAUCACUACUACUUUUGAUUUGAUUACAUCUGUUUCUGCUACCUUUGUUUUUGCCUGUGUAAUGCAGUUCUCAUGCUGGUCACAAUUGACAGCAGCAACACGGACCCGUCAAAUUGACAAGAUGGGUGUUGACACAGCUGCGUGUAGGCAUGGCUUCCUUGUUUUGAGUCGGUUUCUCAUUCUGCUGGUGUUGAGCUAGUCUUUUAGAUUAAACAUACCUUACACACCCAGUUGUUUCUCCAUUUGUAUCUCACCCACCAAAAAUCACAACAUGCCGUUUUACAUGUUGUUAUUAGUGCUGGUCUAAUUCCUCAAAUGGAAAAGCAGGAGAAUCUGGGCUCUCUCGGAUAUGUUAGUAAUAAUAAUUAAUACCGUGCUCUUCGAUGUCCCAGGUUCCUGGCAUUGAUGAAUAAAUAAUGUAAUUUUUACUUCAAGUCAGAUAUGUUAUGUAUGAAAGGCAUAUGUACGCAUUGUUUACUAUUUUGAUCUAUUUAAUUGAUGUAAUUGUUCGAGUGGCCUAGAAUUCGUAGCACAUUGUAAAUAUCUGACUGCUACUAGGUUAGUAUUAUGUACAAGACACAAGACCAAAUGCAUAAAUAAGACAACAAAUAUUAGUUAAAUAAAAUAUCGAACAGUAAAUGAAAAUGUUCAACAUAUCUUUCAUCUUGGAUCAAGGAAGCUAGUAGCCAGCUAGCUGACAGCAAAGGUGUCAACUACAGAUGACGUGCAGGAGCUUGCAGGGAUUUGUAGUGUUGCAGGACGUCUCAUUUGAUGCUAAUUAGCAUUUGUCCGAGAGAGAUUUACGCUGUUAUCAAAACAUCACACCAGGGAAAGCCUACAUGAAACACAGACCUUGUUUGAAGUGGUCCCCGUAGGGAAAAAUGGAUGGUGAAAAAAGAUUUGGAUCCAUUUCUGUGUUUGACCACUAGUUUCUAUGGGUUUUAUGACGUGUCCACAGUGGGGCUCUAUGGGCAGUUUGUUGGGAGCCUGAAUGUAAACCAGGGAAUCCCGAGCAAAAGGAAGGACAGCUCUUACUAUGUAAGC